rnacentral:rRNA from 1 species
ACCUACGGGGCGCAGCAGUGGGGAAUAUUGCACACUGGGGGAAACCCUGAUGCAGCGACGCCGCGUGAGUGAAGAAGUAUUUCGGUAUGUAAAGCUCUAUCAGCAGGGAAGAAAAUGACUGUACCUGAUUAAGAAGCCCCGGCUAACUACGUGCCAGCAGCCGCGGUAAUACGUAGGGGGCAAGCGUUAUCCGGUUUUACUGGGUGUACAGGGAGCGUAGACGGCAGCGCAAGUCUGACGUGAAAUGCCGGGGCUUAUCCC